UUCAGUGUUUGUGAGGCCAAAUCCCGCCUCAGGGGAUGCUGCUUAUACUUCAGAGUUUGCGAGAAUUCAGUUCGAGUCAAACAGCGGAGAAAAACUCAUUUGUUUCAUGCUGCUUAAUGCGCUCGGCAAGCAAAUGCCAACUUGUCUGCAUGUGCACGAGUCUGACAAUCCGAUAAACCUGCAAACAAAACUGCCACAACCGCCUGCUGUGACACGAUCAUAUCAACAACUUGUGACACACGCGUCUGAUUGUCACUGUGCACAUAAGUGAGUUAAUGGACCAGCGCCUUUUUCAUCAGCCACCAGUGUUAGAGGAAGGAUCAGUGCAGAGCGUCGAGGUCCAAAACCAGUAAACUCGGGAGUCACACUCAUCAGUGGAUGGAAAAGUAUUCACAUACUUUAUUUCAGCACAAAUGGCAAAACACUGAGCGGGACAGUGGUGCAGUGGCCAGCGCUGCCACCUCACCGGGUUUGAACCUGCCGGCUGUGUGGAGUGUGCAUGUUCUCCCCGUGUCAGGCGUGCAGACGUAUGUCUGCCCUGUGAUGGAUUGGCAACCUGUCCAGGGUGCACCCCACCCUUGCCCAAAGUCAGCUGGGAUUAGCUCCAGCGCCUCGCAACGCUAAAAGGAUAAGAGGUUUGUUACGCCAGAAGUGCUUUAACCUUCAAAAGAUGGAAUGGGACACGACAUCAACUCUUACAGUGCAAAAUAACUUUCUACACAACACCCCGAUCUGUCUCUCUCUCCAGCACGAGACAACAGAAUCCAUCCAACUAAACCUCUCCUUGACCUAUAAAGUCCAGAUAUGCAGCAGUGGCCAAAAUCCUUUCCUGACAAAUGCAGUAGACACAGACAUUUCAGUCUUUCUGUCGGCAGCAGUGUGGUCCUGAUUGACAGUGACUCGAGAGAUAUCUCCCCAGUGGACCUCUACGGCUCUGUUCAGAGAGUUUUAACACACCAAAGGUAAAUCAUACCGAGGGAAAGCAGGACUAUCAACAAAUAAUUUCUCCAAGUGCUCUCAUGAUUGCAGAAAGGUGAGUCCAUCUGCUCAAUGUGUGCACAAAUAAAGGCUCCUAAUGGCUUUAGGGACACAGAAAAAGGCUUGGACUUAAUAUACAUUGCAAUCCAGUCAUAGGAGCAGCCAAAAUUAAACUAUAUUCUACAUGCCACCAAGUGCCUGUAAGCCUGCACACAUUGAAGAGAUUUUAUUACUUUUCUGCAUUCAGCAACUCCUCUUUUGUCUUUGGGACAAAAAAAUAAAUCCUGUGUCAGACGAA